AUGCUUCCAGAGAGGGCAGAGUUCUCACUGGGUUACCCGUAUGGAUGGAAAGGCCUGCUUGGGCAGACUUCCUGCUACCUAAGACAAGAUGUUGGUUCUUCCCCAGGCCAAAAAUGUUGUGUUUGGUCACAUCUUUAAAUGAAGUCAUUACAGAGUAAUGAGCAGAGUUCCCUGUGCUAUACAGAAGGCUCUAUAAGAGUUCACCAGUCAAGACAUAAGGAGGAGCUCACUGGAUCCAAAGAAUAGGAACUAUUAAUAUGGUGAUCGAACCAGUGGAUUUCCUAAUAUUAAAUCAUACUUACAAUCUGGAAGUUUGAGGACCAACAAAUAAGAAGUUAUUGGUUUAAAUGGAAAAUUGCCUAAUAUGUGAAAAUAAAUGAGAAAAUGGCCAACAAUAAUGAUAUUCAAUACUGGCAUAGAUGGCAGAGUGAAACUGAGACUAUUUUUCCGAGAUUCCUUCAAAUAUAAGAUAUUCAUCUAUCAAAAAUAAUGUGUAAACUCUUUCAUCAAGAUUGGACCCUCACUGAGAAUUCUUUCCAUGGAUUAUUUUUUAUCUAAUGUAAACUUCAGUCUUUUGCCUAUGACAUAUUUUAUAGUCAUAAGCUAUUAACUCAAGUUGUAUCCCUGGAUUUUUAAUGUAAAAAAAUGCUACAUCUAGUAAAGCUACAAGUACAUUCACAGGCCACAGAAUUAGUAAACAACCAAAACACUUAAACCCUUUAUGAUUCUCCCUGUUACUCCUGAAGCUCGACAUAAAAGUUAGUUCUCAUUUUGCUUGGCUCUAAUAUUAACAUUAUCAUUGUAUUGAAUUCCAUUGUGUGUUGCAAAGCUGAACCUCAAGAUGUAGGAAUAAAUGGCCAUAAAUUAGAAUUAUUUGACAUGUGUCAAUAAAAUAACAGGGCCAAAUACUAAAACACUUCGGCUUCAUGCCAAGUCUGAGGUCAGGAUUUGUAAGAAUGACAGUCCUUUUUCUGGCCUGCUUCUUGCGGUGGCCCUGAGGCUGCAGUAACCAGAU